UGAAACACGGACCAAGGAGUCUAACAUGUACGCAAGUCAUGGAGUUGCAAAACUCACAGGCGCAAUGAAAGUGAAGGUCAAUUCGGUUGGCCGAGGUAGGAUCCCUGGUUUACCGGGGCGCACUACCGUCCCAUCGCAUCUGCUUGUCAGAGCGGUGGAGAAAGAGCGUACACGUUGGGACCCGAAAGAUGGUGAACUAUGCCUGAGCAGGAUGAAGCCAGAGGAAACUCUGGUGGAGGUCCGUAGCGGUUCUGACGUGCAAAUCGAUCGUCAGACUUGGGUAUAGGGGCGAAAGACUAAUCGAACCAUCUAGUAGCUGGUUCCCUCCGAAGUUUCCCUCAGGAUAGCUGGCACUUAGAACGCAGUUUUACCCGGUAAAGCGAAUGAUUAGAGGCCUUGGGGACGAAACGACCUCAACCUAUUCUCAAACUUUAAAUGGGUAAGAAGUCUCGCUUGCCUGACCGAAGCUCAGACAUUGAAUGCGAGUGCCAAGUGGGCCAUUUUUGGUAAGCAG
rnacentral:rRNA from 1 species